rnacentral:rRNA from 1 species
UACGAAGGGUGCAAGCGUUACUCGGAAUUACUGGGCGUAAAGCGUGCGUAGGUGGUUCGUUAAGUCUGAUGUGAAAGCCCUGGGCUCAACCUGGGAAUGGCAUUGGAAACUGGCGAUCUAGAGUGCGGUAGAGGGUAGUGGAAUUCCCGGUGUAGCAGUGAAAUGCGUAGAGAUUGGGAGGAACAUCUGUGGCGAAGGCGACUGCCUGGACCAGCACUGACACUGAGGCACGAAAGCGUGGGGACAACAAGC